rnacentral:rRNA from 1 species
ACCUACGGGACGCAGCAGUGAGGAAUAUUGGUCAAUGGCCGGGAGGCUGAACCAGCCAAGUCGCGUGAGGGAAGACGGCCCUACGGGUUGUAAACCUCUUUUGUCAGGGAGCAAGGUGCAGGUCGGGACCUGCUGUGAGAGUACCUGAAGAAAAAGCAUCGGCUAACUCCGUGCCAGCAGCCGCGGUAAUACGUAGGGGGCAAGCGUUAUCCGGAUUUACUGGGUGUAAAGGGGGCGCAGACGGCGAUGCAAGCCAGGAGUGAAAGCCCGGGGCCCAACCCCCGGACUGCUCUU